ACGCACAGCGCCUCACUGAGCU
rnacentral:miRNA from 1 species